rnacentral:rRNA from 1 species
AACGAACGCUGGCGGCAGGCCUAACACAUGCAAGUCGAGCGAGCAUUUCGGUGCUAGCGGCGGACGGGUUAGUAACGCGUGGGAACGUGCCCUUUGCUACGGAAUAGUCCUGGGAAACUGGGGGUAAUACCGUAUGUGCCCUUCGGGGGAAAGAUUUAUCGGCAAAGGAUCGGCCCGCGUUGGAUUAGGUAGUUGGUGGGGUAAUGGCCUACCAAGCCGACGAUCCAUAGCUGGUUUGAGAGGAUGAUCAGCAACACUGGGACUGAGACACGGCCCAGACUCCUACGGGAGGCAGCAGUGGGGAAUCUUAGACAAUGGGCGCAAACCUGAUCUAGCCAUGCCGCGUGGACGAUGAAGGCCUUAGGGUUGUAAAGUCCUUUCAGCUGGGAAGAUAAUGACGGUACCAGCAGAAGAAGCCCCGGCUAACUCCGUG